CACAUUCUUUGGACUGAAUUUCUUCUACAGUGGAACCAAGAAGAGGGUUAAUUAAUACAUUCAAUUCUAAAAUAAACCAUGGCCAAUGGGUUGGUGUUGUUCAGAGAUGUGAGACGUCUCUCAAGAAGAAUGGGAAUGCCUGAAUCCUGCACAGAGGAAUUUGUACAAAGAUGUGAUGUUGGAGUACUGGAGCAACUUGGUUUCACUUGGACUUUCUGUUUCUAAGCCAGCUGUGAUUGCCUCAUUAGAGCAAGGGAAGGAACCCUGGAUGGUUGUGAGGGAAGGGACAGGAAGAAAAUAUUCAGGUGAGUAAGCCAUUAUCAGGAAGCUAUUGCAGAAUGUUGGAAACUGGUCAGAAUAUUGAGUUUGCAAGGUUAUUAACAAAAAUAAGUAAGCGGGGCUGGGAA